rnacentral:rRNA from 1 species
AGUGAACGCUGGCGGUAGGCCUAACACAUGCAAGUCGAACGGCAGCACAGUAAGAGCUUGCUCUUACGGGUGGCGAGUGGCGGACGGGUGAGGAAUACAUCGGAAUCUACUUUUUCGUGGGGGAUAACGUAGGGAAACUUACGCUGAUACCGCAUACGACCUACGGGUGAAAGCAGGGGAUCUUCGGACCUUGCGCGAUUGAAUGAGCCGAUGUCGGAUUAGCUAGUUGGCGGGGUAAAGGCCCACCAAGGCGACGAUCCGUAGCUGGUCUGAGAGGAUGAUCAGCCACACUGGAACUGAGACACGGUCCAGACUCCUACGGGAGGCAGCAGUGGGGAAUAUUGGACAAUGGGCGCAAGCCUGAUCCAGCCAUACCGCGUGGGUGAAGAAGGCCUUCGGGUUGUAAAGCCCUUUUGUUAGGAAAGAAAAGCAGCAGGUUAAUACCCCGCUGUUCUGACGGUACCCAAAGAAUAAGCACCGGCUAACUUCGUG